rnacentral:rRNA from 1 species
UACGGAGGGUGCAAGCGUUAUCCGGAUUCACUGGGUUUAAAGGGUGCGUAGGUGGGUCUGUAAGUCCGUGGUGAAAUCUCCAAGCUUAACUUGGAAACUGCCAUGGAUACUAUAGGUCUUGAAUACCGUGGAGGUGAGCGGAAUAUGUCAUGUAGCGGUGAAAUGCUUAGAUAUGACAUAGAACACCAAUUGCGAAGGCAGCUCACUACACGAAUAUUGACACUGAGGCACGAAAGCGUGGGGAGUCAAACAGGA